rnacentral:rRNA from 1 species
CGUUCCCGGGUCUUGUACACACCGCCCGUCACACCACGAAAGUCGGCAACACCCGAAGCCGGUGGCCUAACCCGCAAGGGAGGGAGCCGUCGAAGGUGGGGCUGGCGAUUGGGUG